AAGUCGAGGGGCAGCAUAAAUUACUUGUAAUUUGAUGGCGACCGGCGAACGGGUGCGUAACGCGUAUGCAACUUACCUUUUACUAGAGAAUAGCCAAGAGAAAUUUUGAUUAAUGCUCUAUACUCUUAAUAACUCACAUGAGUUUAUAAGAAAAGCUCCGGCGGUAAAAGAUGGGCAUGCGUCCUAUUAGCUUGUAGGUGAGGUAACGGCUCACUUAAGCUCCGAUAGGUAGGGGUCCUGAGAGGGAGAUCCCCCACACUGGUACUGAGACACGGACCAGACUUCUACGGAAGGCAGCAGUAAGGAAUAUUGGACAAUGGAGGAAACUCUGAUCCAGCCAUGCCGCGUGAAGGAAGACGGCCUUAUGGGUUGUAAACUUCUUUUAUACAGGAAGAAACCUUUCCACGUGUGGAAAGUUGACGGUACUGUAAGAAUAAGGAUCGGCUAACUCCGUGCCAGCAGCCGCGGUAAUACGGAGGAUCCAAGCGUUAUCCGGAAUUAUUGGGUUUAAAGGGUCCGCAGGCUGUUUGUUAAGUCAGAGGUGAAAUCCUACCGCUCAACGGUAGAACUGCCUUUGAUACUGGCAAACUUGAGUUAUUGUGAAGUAGUUAGAAUGUGUAGUGUAGCGGUGAAAUGCAUAGAUAUUACACAGAAUACCGAUUGCGAAAGCAGAUUACUAACAAUUAACUGACGCUGAGGGACGAAAGCGUGGGUAGCGAACAGGAUUAGAUACCCUGGUAGUCCACGCCGUAAACGAUGGUCACUAGCUGUUCGAUGUACAUUGGUACAUUGAGUGGCUAAGCGAAAGUGAUAAGUGACCCACCUGGGGAGUAC
rnacentral:rRNA from 1 species